rnacentral:rRNA from 1 species
UUUAAAUUGAGAGUUUGAUCCUGGCUCAGGAUGAACGCUGGCGGCGUGCUUAACACAUGCAAGUCGAGCGA